GAUGAACGCUGGCGGCGUGCCUAAUACAUGCAAGUCGAGCGAACAGACGAGGAGCUUUCUCCUCUGACGUUAGCGGCGGACGGGUGAGUAACACGUGGAUAACCUACCUAUAAGACUGGGAUAACUUCGGGAAACCGGAGCUAAUACCGGAUAAUAUAUUCAACCGCAUGGUUCAAUAGUGAAAGACGGUUUUGCUGUCACUUAUAGAUGGAUCCGCGCUGCAUUAUCUAGUUGGUAAGGGAACGGCUUACCAAGGCAACGAUGCGUAGCCGACCUGAGAGGGUGAUCGGCCACACUGGAACUGAGACACGGUCCAGACUCCUACGGGAGGCAGCAGUAGGGAAUAUUCCGCAAUGGGCGAAAGCCUGACGGAGCAACGCCGCGUGAGUGAUGAAGGUCUUCGGAUCGUAAAGCUCUGUUAUUAGGGAAGAAAAAAUGUGUAAGUAACUAUGCACGUCUUGACGGUACCUAAAGAGAAAGCAACGGCUAACUACGUG
rnacentral:rRNA from 1 species